rnacentral:lncRNA from 1 species
GCAGAACCUGAAUCCUGUAUUUGCAGAGCAGCUCAGCUGAAGGGCACAGCAGUGCCUGGUGAGGAGUAGUCUGAGUUUUUUCAGGGUGUGAGAGCAGAGGAAGGCAUGCCCAUAUGCUCAUGUGAAUGUCAGCUUCUACUGCUUCAAAGGAGAGAUUAUGAGUCAUGGAACAGCAAGGAACAAUGGGCAGGAUGGAGAGGUAAGUGUG